rnacentral:rRNA from 1 species
CACGUAGGGGGCAAGCGUUGUCCGGAAUCAUUGGGCGUAAAGCGCGUGUAGGCGGCCCGGUAAGUCCGCUGUGAAAGUCGGGGGCUCAACCCUCGAAUGCCGGUGGAUACUGUCGGGCUAGAGUGCGGGAGAGGCGAGUGGAAUUCCUGGUGUAGCGGUGAAAUGCGCAGAUAUCAGGAGGAACACCAAUUGCGAAGGCAGCUCGCUGGAACGUAACUGACGCUGGAGACGCGAAAGCGUGGGGAGCAAACAGG